rnacentral:rRNA from 1 species
UAAAGGAGCGAUCCGGUGACGGAUGGGCAUGCGUGACAUUAGCUAGUCGGCGGGGUAACGGCCCACCGAGGCGACGAUGUCUAGGGGUUCUGAGAGGAAGGUCCCCCACACUGGUACUGAGACACGGACCAGACUCCUACGGGAGGCAGCAGUGAGGAAUAUUGGUCAAUGGGCUUACGCCUGAACCAGCCAAGUCGCGUGAGGGAAGACUGCCCUAUGGGUUGUAAACCUCUUUUGUCAGGGAGCAACGCCGGCUACGUGUAGCCGGACUGAGAGUACCUGAAGAAAAAGCAUCGGCUAACUCCGUGCCAGCAGCCGCGGUAAUACGGAGGAUGCGAGCGUUAUCCGGAUUUAUUGGGUUUAAAGGGUGCGUAGGCGGAAUGCCAAGUCAGCGGUAAAAUCGCGGGGCUCAACCUCGCUCCGCCGUUGAAACUGGCGUUCUUGAGUGGGCGAGAAGUAUGCGGAAUGCGUGGUGUAGCGGUGAAAUGCAUAGAUAUCACGCAGAACUCCGAUUGCGAAGGCAGCAUACCGGCGCCCAACUGACGCUGAAGCACGAAAGCGUGGGUAUCGAACAGGAUUAGAUACCCUGGUAGUCCACGCAGUAAACGAUGAAUACUAGCUGUUCGGGGCAAAUGAGCCUUGAGUGGC